rnacentral:rRNA from 1 species
UGGGGAAUAUUGGACAAUGGGCGCAAGCCUGAUCCAGCAAUGCCGCGUGUGUGAAGAAGGCCUUCGGGUUGUAAAGCACUUUUAUUAGGAGCGAAACGCUGUCGGCUAAUACCCGGCGGAACUGACGGUACCUGAGGAAUAAGCACCGGCUAACUUCGUGCCGAGCAGCCGCGGUAAUACGAAGGGUGCAAGCGUUAAUCGGAAUUACUGGGCGUAAAGCGUGCGUAGGCGGUUUCUUAAGUCUGCUGUGAAAUCCCCGGGCUCAACCUGGGAAUGGCAGUGGAUACUGGGAGGCUAGAGUGUGUCAGAGGGUGGUGGAAUUCCCGGUGUAGCGGUGAAAUGCGUAGAGAUCGGGAGGAACAUCAGUGGCGAAGGCGGCCACCUGGGACAACACUGACGCUGAGGCACGAAAGCGUGGGGAGCAAACAGGAUUAGAUACCCUGGUAGUCCACGCCCUAAAGCGAUGCGAACUGGAUGUUGGUCUCAACUCGGAGAUCAGUGUCGAAGCUAACGCGUUAAGUUCGCCGCC